UGACACCCUUAUGUGGCAGGAUAUGCUUCAGUGAGGCUUUGGUGCUCACUGAGUCUACCUCCUGAGUGUGUUGCU
rnacentral:pre_miRNA from 1 species